AUCCGGCUGGCAAGUCCCAAAUGAGACGAAACGCGCGUCAAACUGGAU
rnacentral:hammerhead_ribozyme from 1 species